AUAUCAAACCCUGAUCCAUCAGCCCAAAUACUUAAUUAAAAGAAUUAAGUGUUGUCUAGUAGGUCUAGAAUUGUGAAUUAAGACCUAAGACAAUUGCAUAAACUUGUGGGUCAAUGGGUUAGAUGGAUUAGGUCCAUAAUUGGGUUAGACCUAAGGUUAGCUUAAAGAAAUGAACUAAAUUAGAGUAGUUGGUCAAAUCUAAUCAAAAGUUGAAUUAGAUUAGGUCAAGGAUACUCUAGACUCAACUCCAAUAGUUGUAGUUGAAUGGGUCCAUGUCUUUAACUAGACCAAGAUGGACUUAAUUCAUGGCUACGCUGUGGAACCCUAUUUACUAAGUUGAUCAAAUUAAAACUAAUGAACCGGUUGGUGUCUAAGAUAAGUUUAGCAGUUUGACCAGUGGUUUUUAAGCGGGAGCUACUCGCAGUGAUUCGAUCUCUGACGAGUUAAUGGCUUAUCCCCACCAC
rnacentral:lncRNA from 1 species